UUUUUUGUUUUUUUUUUUUAAAGCUCUUCAGGUGACACUGAUGGACCUCCACAGCUGAGAUUCCCAGCCCUGGACCUCCUGAAACAAUCUCUUCGACAGCGGAUCUCAACCUUGAAAGCUUUGGAAGGUACAGGUGUGGGAGUCCCACCGCCAGUGAUUCUGAAGUCAUGAGACUGGGGUGAGGCCUGAGAUUCUUUAUUCAGUGAUUAUGCUUUUCAGCUCCAGAAUUUCUAUUUAGUUCAUUUUUAUCAUAUCUAUUUCUUUUGAUAGAAUAUUGAUAUUCACAUUUUGUUCAUACAUUGUUUUUCUAAGUUCUUUUAGUUCUUUGUCCAUGGUUUCCUCCUGUUCAGUAAACAUAUUUAAGACAGUUUGUUUAGAAGUUCCUUGGUAACUCAGUGAGUUAAGCAUCCGGCUUUGUCACUGUUGUGGCUUUGCUCACUGCUGUGGCACAGGUUCAAUCCCCGGCCCAGGAACUUGUGCAUGCUGGGGGCACAGCCAAAAAAAAUAACAAUUACAUUUAAAAAAAUUUUUUUAAAUAACUGGUUAAAAGUCUUUGACUGAUAAGUCCAAUGUUAGGGCUCGCUCAGGGAUAGUUUCUGCCAAUUUUGUUCCUUUGACUGGACCAUACUUUCCUGUUUCUUGGCAUGCGUUGUGAUUUUUUUUUUCUGAGAUCGAACAUUUGAAUAUUAUAAUGUGAUAACUGGAAAUCAGAUUCUCCUCCUUCCCCAGCGGUUGCCGGUUUGAUUGAUGAAGGCUGCCGUCACUACUGGCUUAGUGAUUUUCCCAAACUAUUUUACAAAGGCUGUAUUUCAUGUUAUAUGUAGUCAAAGAAGUCUGUUCCUUCAGCUCAUGUUCAAAUAGCAUGUUGAUAGAGAUUUCCCCGAAUGCCAGGAUCUAAAAAAAAAAAAACAAGACAAACACAACACGCCUCCCAGGGCUUGCGGAUGGGCUCUGUUUGCAACCUGCCUAAGACAAUAUUCACUGCUUGCAGGGAGCCAUCUUUACGAUGCUUUUUUUUUUUUUUUUUUUUUUUUCCUUGCUUCAGCAUUCACUUGGUUGCUGUAAACCUUGAUGGUUUUCCAGAAUUCUUACAAAGUUGGUUCUGACAGUUUCUGCUUAUUUUUUCAAUGUUUCUGCGGAGGAGCUGGGAAUGCCUUUUCUUAGCAGCGGUGCGGGCUGCUAAUAACAGAAAUACUAUAGACUGAGUGGCUUAGCAUCAACAGCAAUUUAUUCCUCACAGUUCUGGGGGUGGAAGUCCAAGGUCAGGGUGCCAGCAUGGCCAGGCUCUGGUGAGAGUCCUAUGCACUUGCAGACUGCCGGUUUCUCGUUGUAUCCUCACAUGGCAGAGAGCAGAAAGAGGAAACGCGCUGUGAGUCCUGUAGGGGCACUAUCCCCACUGGUGAGGGCUCCACCCUCAUAGCUGCGUCUAAUCCUGUUUACCUCCCAGAGGUCCCCCCUCCUCAUACCAUCGCAGGGUGGGGGGGGAGGUAUGGUUUCCGCAUGGGCAUCUGGGGAGGACACAAGCAUUCAGUCCUUAACACACUGACUCCGCCAUUUUUUUAUUUUUUAUUUUUAUUUUUUGCCUUUUGUCUUUUUAGGGCUGCACCCAUGAGUAUAUGGAGGUGCCCAGGCUAGGGGUCCAAUCGGAACUGUUGCUGCCAGCCUACACCAGAACCACAGUAACACCAGACCUGAGCUGCAUCUGCAACCUACACCACAGCUCAUGGCAAUGCCGAAUCCUUAACCCACUGAGUGAGGCCAGGGAUCGAACCUGAAACUUCAAGGUUCCUAGUCGGCUAGUCAGAUUCGUUUCCGCUGCACCAAGACGGGAACUCCCUUUUUUUUUUUUAAAGCUCCCCUGGUGAUUCUAAUGUAUAGCCACGGUUCAUACCCACUACUCUGGAAGCAAAACUUUGGCAUGACUGCUUUCAACAAGCUCCUUAGGUGAUUCUGAUGUAGCCAUUCCAAGCUCUGGGGUCCUGCAGGUUCAGGAAGUCCACCUUCUGUCAUCUUCCGCCACUUCCCGGGACCCAGAUGAGGAGAUCAGGCUGAAGGAGGAAGAGAUCAACCUUUGUGGGCAUGGCUCACCAUCCCGGGACUGCAGCACACGGUGCCACGGGGACACCUAGUGGUGAGUUGCUCCAUUGGGGGGUUAAGGAGAGGAACUGGCUUAUUGCUCCCAUUUGCUUCAGAGGAAUUAGAACGGAAAUUAAGAAAGGAGCCCAGGAUGGGCCAGAUUCCUGCCUCCACGUGUGACCGAUGAGUUAAAAGUUUUUCAGCAGUAGAUUUCUGUUGGGACUCAGCAUAUGGGUCACCUGCACCCGAGCUAGCGGCCCCUGAAAUUGCUAAGACUUCCAGUUACAUAAGGUACAAGCUCUCAGGUAAAUGCAGCUGAGGAUGAAGGCUUCUCAGUCCAGCUGAGCUCCAGGGUUCACCCCUCGCAGACACGAGGUCCUCAAAGAGUAAGUAGUUCUGGGAUAACCAAGAGAUUUUUUUUCCCUAUCUCACCAGGUGUGAUCAUGGACAGGGCUUUAAUUAUCUGACUCUCAGUUUCUUUACCUGUAUGGUGAAAGUAAUUACCUGCCUCAGUUCUUCUAUGGAAGAUAUACGCAAUGUAUUACCUAGUAAAAGAAUUUUAAAAAUAAGGGAGUUCCCGUUGUGGCGCAGCAGAAAUGAAUCUGACUAGUAUCCAUGAGGAAGUGGGUUCGAUCCCUGGCCUUGUUCAGUGGGUUAAGGAUCCCACGUUGCCGUGACCUCUGGUGUAGGUUGCAGGCAUGGCUUGGAACCCACAUUGCUGUGGCUGUGGCAUAGGCUGGCAGCUGCAGCUCCAAUGAGACCCGUAGCCUGGGAACUUCCAUAAGCUGCAGGUGUGGCCUUAAAAAAAAAAACAGGCAAAAAAAUAAUAAACAGUAAAGUAAUAAUAAUAAAUAUGUAGUUUGAUCCCGUUUUGUUUAAAGUCAUGAAUAUACCUUUAUACAUAUAUUUAUCUUUAUAUAAGUUAGUAUGGGUGUGUAUAUGUAUAUUUACGUAUGUAUGCAUACAGCGCUAGAACAGUGCUCACCAAACAGGUAGUGAGGUUGGAGGUGAUGUUUGCUCUCCUUUUUGUACUUGUUUAUGACGUGCAUGUACUGUUUUUUACAAAAGAAUACUGAACCUUUGGGUCAAGAGGUCUGAUUAAAUACAUCUGUUCAUCUCUCAUCUCUCCUCCCUCCAAACAUCCCACUGAAAUGACAAAGUGAGCAUUUCCAAGUACUAAUGAGAGUUCUUCAAAUAAUAAUAAUAAUAAUAAUACUCAGAAUAAUGAGGAUUAAAAUCUGGCACGUAGCACUUGCAGUAAUUACCUCCAUUCCCCAACUACUUGUAGCUCUAAAGAGAACACGAAUAAAGGGAUUUUUUUUUACUCUUUAUGUGCCGUAGACCCAUGAACCUGGUGAAGCCCAGGGACCUCUUCUCAGUAUAUUUUUAAAUGAAUAAACAACCACACAUAGGAUUACAGAGGAAAUCAUUUAUAUCAAAACGCAGUUAUCAUAAUAUUUUUAAAACAAAUCUGUCAUAAAGUAACAUAUGUGCUUCUAUAUUAGAAGAAUUUAGCAAUGUGUCUAAUAAAUAGAAUGAACAGAAGUGAUAUUUUGAGAUAACUUCAGCAAUAUCACCAUGAUAGGAAACUGUCUCCUUUCCAUUGGUGAUAAAAUCACAGGAACUGCCAAAACCACCAUGGUCUGUUGCUUAUGUUCCUGUGUGUAGGUGAUGCUGAAUUUAAAUUCAACUUCAUGAAAAUAAAGACCAUUUUUCUCAUCCAAUGUCAUGGACCUCCAAAGAUAAUAAAAUAGGUGCUCCCAUAGGUCUUUGCUUAAGUCUGUUUGAUUUCUUUCUCUAUUUGCAUCUUUUUUUGUUGUUGUUGGCCAUGUCCACAGCAUGCGAAAGUUCCCAGGCCAGGGAUCAAACCCGAACCACAGCAGGGACCUGAGCCACAGCAGCGACGAGUCCCGAUCCUCAACCCACUGAGCCAACAGAGAAUUCCCUUGCAUCUUUCUUCCAAUAUGUGAUGAUCCUUGGUUAUGGCUUUGGUGUGACUAUCCAUUAGGGAGCUCCCAAUGUCAGUAUCUUUCUAUAGGUCUUUCCUCCUAGCUGGUCAAAUUCUCCAGAGAAGACUCUUACAGCAGCUCUUUAGGAGACCCUCAUCCUCUGGGCCAGCAUUCUGGAAUCGAGGUUGGGAGAGAAGUCUGAGGGGAGGAGAUGGCGCAGGGCAUCUCAAUCUUCCCGUGUAAAUUCUCAGGUAACCCCGCUGCUCUCAAGAUGGCGCCCCAUCAUCCACUGUGCAUGGUGGUUCCCAACCCAGUGCCCUUCUGUUCCUCUACAGCUGCACUUGCCAACACAGCAACCUCUGAUCUCCUGCAGCUAUUUACAUUUAAAUUAAUUAAAAUAGGAGUUCCCUUCAUGGCUCAGUGGUUAACGAAACCAACUAGGAACCAUGAGGUUGUGGGUUCGAUCCCUGGCCUUGCUCAGUGGGUUAAGGAUCCGGCGUUGCCGUGAGCUGUGGUGUAGGUAGCAGACGUGGCUCGGAUCCUGAGUUGCUGUGGCUCUGGCCCAGGCCGGCAGCUGCAGCUCCAAUUCGACCCCUAGCCUGGAAACCUCCAUAUGCCACAGGUGCGGCCCUAGAAAAGACAAUAAGUAAAUAAAUAAAUACAUAAAUUAAAAUGAAAUAAACUUUCAAUCUCUCAAUCGCACUAACCACAUUUCACGCAGUCAAGAGCCACGUGAAGCUAGUGGCUGGCAACUGUAUUUUUUUUCUUUUUUUCUUUCUUUUUUUUCCCCCUGCUUUUUAGGGCUGCACCUGCAGCACAUGGAAAUUCCCAUUUCCCAGGCGAAGGGUCGAAUCGGAGCUACAGCUGCCAGCCUGCAUCACAGCCACAGCAAUGCAGGAUCCGAGCCGAGUCUGCAACCUACACCACAGCUCAUGGCAAUGCCAGAUCCUGAACCUACUGAGCGAGGCCAGGGAUCAAACCCUCAUCCUCAUGGAUGCUAGUCGGAUUCGUUUUCACUGCG
rnacentral:lncRNA from 1 species